UUCCGGCCCCGCCCUUUCCGGCGGCGCGCGGGGCCGCGGGGCUGCACCAUGAGCUCAGGUCAGGAACCGGCACCGGGAGCGGGAUCCGGGAAUGGGAUCCGGGAAGGGAUCGGGGUCGGGAAUGGGAUGAGGGGUCGGGGUCGGGGUCAGGGACCGGGACCCCCCGAGUGCCCGGAGCCCCCCGGACCCCAAAGCGCCGCCGGGGGCUCCCGGGGCCGCUCCAGCCCAGCCCGGGGGGCGGGACCCUCGCAGCUCCACUGCCGUUUAUUCCCAUUUAUUCCCAUGUGUCCCCAUUUAUUCCCCUUUUAUUCCCAUUUAUUCCCCUUUUAUUCCCAUUUAUUCCCCUUUUAUUCCCCAUUUAUUCCCAUGUGUCCCCAUUUAUUCCCCUUUUAUUCCCAUUUAUUCCCCUUUUAUUCCCAUUUAUUCCCAUGUGUUCCCAUUUAUUCCCGUUUAUUCCUAUUUAUCCCCACGUAUUUCCAUUUAUUCCCAUUGAUUUCGCUUUAUUAUUUUGCUUUUCUUCUAAAAUUUUGCUUUUUAAUUAUGCCUCAUUAUGCUUUUUUUAUUUUUUAAUUUUGCUUUAUUUUGUUACCCUUUUUUUAAAUUCUGUAGUUUUAUUUUGUUUUAAUUCUCUUUAUAAUUCUGCUUUAUUUGACUUAAUUUUAUUUUGCUUUCUUGCUUCCUUGCUUUGCUUUCUUUUGUGUCUUGUUUUUUUACUUUCACUUUUUAUUUUUAUAUUUGGCAUCAUUAUUUUGCUGUAGUUUUGUUUCCUGACUUUGUUUUUCUGCUUUUUAACUGUGCUUUAUUUUGCUUUUUCCUUUCCUUUGUUUGUUUUUUCACUUCACUUUUCUUUAUUAUUUUCCUAUAUUUUGUUUUUACAUUUUAAUUUUUCUCCUUUUUAUUACUCCAAUUCAUUUUGCCUUUUAUCUUUUGCUUUAUUUCACUUUUUAAAAUUCCAUUUCUCUUUUAUUUCACUUUAUUUUGCUUUUUAAUUUUGUUCCGUUUCUCUUUUAUUUCGCUUUAUUGAGCUCCACUUCCCUUUUUAGUUUUGCUUCACUUCCCUUUUUAGUUGGCUUUAUUUCCGUAUUUUAUUUUGCUUUUUUUCCCAUUUUUUGUCCCAUUUCUUUC
rnacentral:lncRNA from 1 species